GAUCAGACUCAGAUAAUGCGAGUCGGGUGUUAUUCAGCUUGGUGCGCAGUCCUCUAACGUUCUGGUAGUAUAGGAGAAGCUCUAAGUUAGGAGCCUGUGCAUGUGUCGGCGGAGUAUCACGGAGAACACGUGUAGUUAAGGCAGUGGUGGCUCGGGCAUAGUGGCGUGGUGCGGAUCGGAGAGCGGCGGAUUCAGGUGGUUGGGCGGCAAGUUGGCUCGUGUACUGGUGGUCGGAAGUGGUUCCCGGGGUCCUGUGUGCCAAAAAUUCUGUGCUGUUUGUGAGGUGCGGUGGUCAGUGAAUUCACGGAACACUAUACCGUUGUGCCAAGUGGAUGGUGAAAGCGCCUUUUCUUUUAAAUCAGGCGACAUCCCAACUUUAAAGGAGAUAAAGCUGAGAGUGCCUGGAUCCUUGUCACGUGGCACCAGUCUAAUAGUGAUGACGUCAUCAGUACCUAGCUGAGAAGCCACCAUCAGCUUGAAAUCGGAGUCAGACACCGAUGGAGCAAUUCUGGUAAGGUAUAACCAGAAUUUCGGCCCGUUGGAUACAUUCAACGGGACGGUCAGCACGGCACGAGACGAUGGUGAAAUCGGUGCAGUGCCAACGUGGAGAGGUGGCGCAGAAACGGCAUCAGGAGGCGUGAAAUCGACAAGCCUACGUUUAGGCGCAUUGCGGUUUGGAGCGUUUUGGGACGCUCGGUCCAGUUCACCGGGGCGGGAGCUUAAUGGCGUUGCUGCGGCGGUUGAUGAUGUUAGUGGUGCGAGUGGCAUCAACGUGUGCGUGUUGGAAUUGUUCCUGUCAACAGCAGACAGUACAUCAGCACGCACAGCAUCCAAGACGGCAGUAAGACGACCGUCAAAUUCACGAAACAAUUCGUCCUUCAGAAAAUCGAGAGCGGUAUUGAGUUCGCUGAAUUUAGCUCUACCGUUAAGCCGUGAUGCGUUGCAACUUGCGCAAAUCCAGAGGGCUUGAGCAUCGGGCCGUGUGAAUUCCGUAAAAGCAGCUUCGGGGACUCCAAUACAACGAAGAUGGCAGGGAGCACGAAGGACAGGACGUAGCCAUCGUAAGCACUGAGCUGCACUGACACAGGAACGAAACGCACUUACACAAAAUAAGAACGAGUACGUUGAAACUUCGAGGACGCUAGCUCGAAAAUAGACGAUAACAGCGCGGUGAUGCAACAAAACAGGCCGGAAUCUGACACGAAUUGAGGACGUGACACCAGUGCAUCUAUAGACAACAAAUGUCACACGGCAUGGCUCACAGAACACGUUGAAAAACGUAAAAACAAAGGAGCUCGAAGAUGUUCCAACCGAACGUGACGAAGUCCAAGAUGGUGUGCAGGGAAGAUGGGAGGCUGUUGUCUAUUUCUAUUGGAUGUUCCAGAUCCGUUACACGGAAGGAUGACUUCCGUGAUUACACAUCUUAACCAACAACAUACUCAACACAGCAAUAGACCCGGACCAACAAUAGUACUGGACAAACUCACCCACAACCUUCACACAUCUACAACCGAGCACGCCCGGGAUAAGGCGAAAUAUCAGGGAGGAAAUGUCUUGGUAAUUUUUUGUAUCUUUGUAUCUAUAAAUAAAUUGUUGUUUUUUUGUAUCUAUAAACGAAAAUAAAUAAAAAUAAAAUAUUAUAUUUGUAGCAAUUAUGCCAGCAGCAAGAAUCAUUUGUUUCUUCAAAUAUCAAUCGUUUACCUGCAUUUUGCAACAAGAAAAUUGACAGAGAAUUGUUUGACAGGUUUUUAAGUACUUAUGCUAACAUUAUUCCCGUUGCAUUGACAUGCUUGAUUAAAAUAGUUGUUUCUAAAGACUCUCACUGAAUUCAAUGUGUUGUUAAGUGGUUUUGAAUACAUUAAAGAUAGAUUUAGUAUUAACCGAGGUGCUAAUAAUUGAAUAGUAAGGCUAGAAUAGAUUCAACAAAUAUCUUUUUAUAACUUUUUUUUAAACAUGAAAAAAUCACAACAAAAUAUGACCAACUUUUCAAACAAAAUAUGCACAGUCGUCAAAAACGGUGAUGGUAAAACAGACAGCAAAAACCAAAGGAAGCUAUCUAGGAUGAUUGAAUGAUUGAAAAUAAAUCGUAAAAAAGGGGUUGACAGAGCACAUUCAAGUUGACAAAAACUUCGUAAACAACAUAUGCAUACGUGUCGAUAUAUGAACGUUAACAUACACACAAGUAGAUGCUUUAUAUACGAUGUA